GUUUGGAGACACUCUAGAAGAUUGAACUCAGUCAAUAGGGGUAAACUGAGGUGGAAUUUCCUGUCUUCAAAUAAUACACCAUCCUGAAGAAUUCUAACAUUUGUACCCAGGCAACACAUCACAACAACAAUUUUACAAAUAAGAAGACUGUGUUCAAGAGAGGCCUUUUUGGCAAUUCACAGGAGAAAUAAAAAUGUAACUUCCAGGGCCAGCGUUUGCCCAGCUCUUGCUGUGGGGGCCAAGCCCAAAGUUAACAAGGACUGACAUUAAUCAUCACAUCAUUUCUAAAUGGAGUUUGCAUCCAGGAAGAACCUAAGCGAGUUUUCUCUCCUCUUAUGAGACUUUUUGCGUAUGUGCUAUAAGUCAUUCAGGGGAAAAAACCCUGGGGCAUAAUUUCAUGGGAGGGAAGGGCUUGUUUAAAUAGGAACUUUAUGCCACAGUACAUGACUAAGAAACUAUGUAAGUAUGAACCCUAGGGCCCUGUCUUCCUGAUUCAGCCAAGCCAGGUAAUUGCUGCAAAGUAUUCAAAGAUUCCUUGUUAUUUUGAAUGAAGUGAGUUCAGAAAUAUUGCUCAAAUAUGACACAGACAACCCUGGGGUGAAGCCAGACUUUGAGAUUGGAGAUUACACACACACACACACAAAAACCCAAACCCCAAACUGUAAUAGCAUAGCCUACAUUUUAAUAUUAAAGAUGUGUAGUUUGGCUAUUAUGAGGGAGUAUUGCAAUCACAUAGUUGCUUAAUUAAAAUGCUGCCUUUCAAAACAUCUACUAAGAAAUUCAAAAUCUGGCCAUCCAAAUGAACAUUCCCUAAAACUUUAAGUCACUUUUAUUGGUGCUAUAACAAUUCUACACUAAAUGUAGUUUCUCCCAAGAGGGUAAAGACUGACAUUCAAAAACAUGAAUUCUGAGGACAAGGACCAAUUAGAGACAACAAAUAGCUGUCCCAAUCUCAGUGAGAUAAUGAACACGAAAGUGUUUAGGAACAUUAUCCAUCUGGAGCUGGUUCUACGAUUUCAUCACCCCCACCUCCUUUUCAAGCCUCCUUCAGGUAUUUCUGGAAGAUCUCAGGGUGUAUAUCUGAGUACUCACAAAUCAGUUGGGCUAUUUUGUUUUUUUCUGCUCUGACCUUCACCAGGUGGUAUCACCAAUAUCUACUCGGCCUUGCAAAUAUUUUAAUAGAUGUUGUCAUACCUCCUUCUAGCACCCUUAUCUCAGGCAGGCCCCAUGUCUUUUCCAUUGGGAUACCCAUGAGAAUGCCACACUCCCCUCUGUAGAAGCCUGCUUGUUCAGUGGGUACCAAAGCAUUGUUUGUGUGUUGCUAUCUUACCAGGGCUUAGUCAAAAUUUUUUUUUGAGACACUCUUACUCUGUCGCCCAGGCUGGAGUGCAGCGGUACAGUCUCCGCUCACUGCAACCUCCACCUCCCAUGUUCAAGCGAUUCUCCUGCCUCAGCCUCCCAAGUAGCUGGAACUACAGGCGUGUGCCACCAUGCUCUGCUAAUUCUUGUCUUUUUAGUAGAGACGAGGUUUCACCAUGUUGGCCAGGCUGGUCUCGAACUCCUGACCUCUGGUAAUCUUCCCGCCUCAGUCUCCCAAAGUGCUGGGAUUACAGGCAUGAGCCAUUGUGACCAGCCAAGUUUUAUAUUUAUAGUUCUUAUCACUGGGAAUAGAGUUCAAAGGGCUAGGCCAGUAGACAAUUCCCCAACACACGAUAUUCACUGCUCUCAGAAGUGCCCCCAUCCUCUGAUUUCUAUGGCAACUUUUACUAUUGGAGUCCUCCUCUUCCCAUGACUUUUUUUCCAAGGGCUUCUCACAAAUCCUUAUGCAAACAGACUUCCAGUGGGAAAGCACCACACAUGCUUCCUUAGUUAUGCUGCUCCUUCUGGAGGCCCCCAGCCUUCCCACCCACCUAAAGGGGUGACAGUCAUAGUGUAGAGCAGGGAUUGGCAAACUAAGGCCCAAGAGCCAACUCUGCCUCACCACCUGCUCCUGCGCAGCCUGCAAGAUAAAGAUAAGAUAAAGAUAAGAAUUUUUUUUUUUUUUUUUGAGACAGUCUCGCUCUGUCACCAGGCUGGAGUGCAGUGGUGUGACCUCUGCUCACGGCAACCUCUGCCUCCCAGAUUCAAGCCAUUCUCCUGCCUCAGCCUCCUGAGUAGCUGGGACCACAGGCACAUGCCAUUACACACAGCUAAUUUUUGUAUUUUUAGUAGAGACGGGGUUUCACCAUAUUAGCCAGAAUGGUCUCGAUCUUCUGACCUCGUGAUCCGCCCGCCUCAGCCUCCCAAAGUGCUGGCAUUACAGGGGUGAGCCACCACGCCUGGCCAAGAUAAGAAUGUUUUUUACAUUUUUAAAUGAUAAAGAAAAACAUCAAAAGAAGGAUAAACAAUAAUAUUUCUUUUCUUUCCUUUCCUUUUCUUUUCUUUCCUUUCCUUUUUUUAAGAUAAGGUAUCACUCUUAUCGCCCAGGCUAGAGUGCAGUGGCACAACAAUCGCAGCUCACUACAAGGUCAACCUCCCCAGGCUCAAGUGAUCCUUUCACCUCAGCCUCUUGAGUAGCUGGAACAACAUGUGUGUGCCAACACACAUCUAAUUUUUGUGUUUUUUGUAGUGACAGGAUUUCUUCAUGUUGCCCAGGCUGGUCUUGAACUCCUGGACUUUAGCAAUCUGCCCACUUCGGCCAUUCAAACUGCUGGGAUUACAGGGGUGAGCCACUGCACCUGGCCAGAAUAAUAUUUCAUAUGCAUAAAAAUACAUGAAAUUCAAAUUUCAAAUCUACUGUUAAAAGAAAGACCAUAGCCAAAUUAAAUUUAACAUACUUUAAUUGAGCAAAGAACGACUUGAGAAUCAGGCAGCCUCCUGAGCCGGGGUAGGCUCAGCAACUCCAGUGCAGCCACGUGGUGGAAGACGAUUUAUAACAGAAGAAGGAAAGUGAUGUACAGAAAACAGAAAUGAGGUACAGAAAACGGAAAUGGGGUACAGAAACAGGCGGAUUGGUUACAGCUCAGCAGCUGGGCGUUUACCUUAUUUGAAGACAGUUUUAACAGUUUGCCUCCUCUGAUUGGCCAAAACUCAGUGAUUGGCACAAGAAUAGGUUUUGGUCUGUUUACACUUCCAUUGAGAUUAUAGUUCGCUAUGUACAGAGAAACCUUUAGGCUGAACUUAAAAUAUGUAAGGAGGCAGGUUUAGUCUAAACUUGAUCUAACACAACUAAUGAAGUUUUACUGGGACACAACCACACUCAAUUCAUUGUAUGUAUUGCUCAUAGAGGCUUCCCUGCUACAACUGCAGAGUUGAGUGGUUGCAACAAGGCCAUAUGGCCUGCAAAGCCUGGGAACUAUCCAUAGUGGGGCCUUUAUAGCAAAAGCUUGCAGACCUCUGCUUUAGAGCAUGGACCCUGGAGUCAGGCUGUCUGGGUCUGGAUUUUAUUUUGCCACUAAUUAAUUAUGUAGGUAAUUUCUGGACACCUCCUAAGCCACAUUUGUGAGGUGGGAAUGACCGGAGAGUUAUAUUUACCUCAUUAGGUUGUAUGGGGAUUAAACAAGGUGAUUUGGAGCCAG
rnacentral:lncRNA from 1 species